GUGGCGGAGGGUUCGGCUGACUUGACAAUGGGCCCAGGAAAUCCCAAGUCAGUACUUAGGGUUACCCCCACCCCCUUUCCUUUCCUUUCCGUUCCUUUUCUUUAAAAUGUUUUUUUUAAAAAAAAAAAAAAACCCAGCCCAUGCUCAUUUCUUUCUGCUUCUUUGGUACUGCUAUUAAUAUGCCUUCCUGUAAUUUGUAACAUUAACAUUGCUAAAGGUACAGGAAAGGACACCGAAAUGAAGAUGUCAGAACUGCUGACUUAGUUCAGCGUAUGAUAAUAUGGGCUACAUAUGGAAAUGGUCGAGAGAUAACUAGAAAGAUCGAGAUGAAAACAGUAAAGAAACUCCAUGGAAAUGAUGAUAAAUUAUCGAAGCCUGAAAAAUCUAUUUCGGCACAUUUUUAUUUCUCUCUGUUUUUUAAAGCCCUGUGUUUAAACGCAUUCUUGUCGACUGCAUCCCAAUGUGUGUGUACUUUACUUAUGCAAAUAGUAUUUCUGUUGCUGUAUCUUUUGAGUUUUAUCGAUCAGCAGAAUUCUGAAUAGGAUACCCUUGCAAGCUCAGUCAUCUAACACAACCCAUUGCUAACCUUUCUUAAGGAUGGAGCUUUCUGAAACGUGCUGCCAAUCAAACCGAAAUUUGUAAGUUGGAAGAAACGUUUUAAUUAAGGAAUUUUAAACACAACAUUUCUCUCAUGUUUUGUUUUAAAGGAUAAACAUAGCUAUUUGUGCUUGCUUAGAAAAUAAAAUAACAUUCAAUUACCCUUUCCUGCAUGUUCACUUAGUAACAAUAAAUCUGUUUGUUAAUGCUAAUAAUAAUGGUACUUUUAAAAAAAAGGGAUUUUCAAUAAAUGGUCACGAAAUUUAAUCAUCCCAGUAAAUUAAAUGUAAACUUCUCAAAAAUCAGUAAACAUAUUGAGUAAGCAGAAAUAUGAGAAAGGGAUGUUGAUAUAGGGGAAAAUUAUAAUAAUAAAGUUUUAUAACAGCAUUAAAAAUUGUAUUGUAACUAAUGUAUAAUAACAUAUUUAAUCACUUUAGCUACUGGGGAGUAAGCCUCAAUGAACUCAAUCAGACAUAUCACUGAGUAGACAUGUAUAGGAUUGCAGUAUUGAUCAACCAUAUAGGACAUCAACACUGCAACGAUGCGCAUAUCUACUCAGAAGUAAACCCAACUGAGUUCAAUGGGUGUUACUCCCAGGUAGGUGUGUAUAGGAUUGCAAAUCAAGGCUUGUAUUAAUCAAGCUGCAUAGUAACUUUUUAAGAUAAGACUGUUAGAAGGGAUUGCACAUGAAUAUUAACUACUUAAUUUGCAGGAAAGUAGCAUGAGCUCCUAUCUUGGUUCAAAAAUACAUAAAUGGUUGGAAAAGUUGUUGUUUGCUACUGAAGUUAAAAAAUAAAAUAUAGCCAGUGAUUGGGUAGCAUUUUAAACACACGUGGGUCAUCAAACUUCUGAGCUAGGAGAAAGCGCUUCUGAUCAUACAAGGCAGGGCAUCUUAUUUUUGUUGAUCUUCAUACCUCCUGUGACCCCCCUCCUGUAACCCCCUCUUGAGGGUUGGUGGACUUCCCUGAACAGGACAGGAUGUGGCACAGAGUACUGCAAGAGGCAGGCAGACAUAGGGAAACUGGGUGCCCUGCAUGGCACAGUAUUGCCACUGGACCCUGAAGUUCAGUUGCAAGAAUUCUCUGCGGAAUGUUUAUAGGAGGGCUCCAAACUCUGCACUGCGUUGUGCCGUGCCGUGUGCCCCUCACAAUGGAAGCUUUUGCAAACAGAAGAGGCAAGCGGUUUUUGCAAAGUCCCCCUUUUGUCUGCAGCCCUGUGCGCUGUCUUGUAGGGGAAGGGCGGUAGCUCAAGAGGUAGACUGGAUCCACUUUGCAUGCUGAAGGUUCAAUCCCUUGUGUGGCGUUUGCCCAUUUGUUUAGAGCCUGUCUGUACAGGGGGAAAGAAAGGGUUGAAAAUGUAGACCAAUAGGAAAGCCUAGAUGUGUAUAAAAGGGCUUAGCCCGAGGUUUGUUAGAGUUGUCGGUGGGUUGGUUUUAGUGGGUUGGCUGGUUGGGAAAGGCAAUUGGAGAAGCAGUUGGCAGGCAGUUGGAAACAGAGAGACAGGGCAGUGGGUUCUUGAGUGAGGGGAGGUAGAAGAGAUAGAGAGAGGAAAAUAAGACUAAGAAAGUAAAGAGUAACAACAUUUGGAAUGCCGUAAAAGUUUGUUUGUGUCUGAAAUAAAAUACUCUGUUCUUUAUUAACUUGAGAAUCUGACUAAGAUUGAAGUGAUUUUACCUGGUUGGUGGCAGUAGAUUAGUGGUGUACAGGUCAAUAAUCCGUGAGACGACCGGGGGCUCUGUACGAAUGCCACACCUUGCGUCUCCAGUGAGCUCUGAGAAUGUUCACCAUUAGAAAUCCUGGAGAGCGGCACCCAGUCGACGUAAACAACACUGAGCGAGACGGAUCAGUGGUCUGACUCAGCAGCUUUCUAUAUUCCUCCAACACCACUACCAAAAGUCAAACCAACUGUCUGGACCAGGUCUCGGGGGCCAUGGGGAGCUAUCUCCCUCAUGCACUACUCACAGAAGCAUCCACUGGACGUCAGAACUUUCUGUAAGUGGAGGGGCACAACUGGAUAUAAUCUGUUUGAUUUGAAGGCAUAAUCCCUAAUACACAGAAGUCUAGCUGUGCAUAAAAAAACUAUUGCCUACACAUGGGUCAUCCAUCAGAGCUAUUUCCAUAAGUACAGGAGGGUGUAGCACAAGGAAUAAUUUUCUGUAUUCAGUACCAAGUAAACAGGAGAUUGAAUCCAGGCAACUACCACAUGCAGUGCUAUUCCUCCCUCCUCUAGAAGGGUUAAGCCACCAUUUGGAAAGGAGGGGCGAUGGUGGCUUAUAGGUAAUGUCUGAAGAGGGUCCCACCCCUCUUCACCAUUCUCAUUAACCUCAAACGUGAAAAGUGAUCUCCUCAAGCAAUGAACCUCCUGUAUUUGCAGAGGAUCACUAUACAUUUUAAAGCCCUAUGUAUGGGGAGCCUCCACAAGCCCCGAAGACUCUCCAGUCAGUCCACAUGGUCACCCUCCAACUCACGUCACAAGAAUGGUGAUGAAGGGGCAGAGCAAGCACACUAACACCCUUUACAUGCUAACUUAACCCUUACAGAUUAGAGGGGGCUCUGGUAAUUAGGCAAUAAAAAAUUGUCUACUCAUUUAUACCAGAGGUGGGAGACCUGUAGCCCUUCAGAUGUUGGAGUCCAAUUCCCAUCAGCCCAGCCAGCACAACCAAUGGUAAGGGAUGCUGGGAGCUGUCAUUCAAAACAUCUAGUGAGCCACAGGUUCUCCAGCCCUGAUUUUUACUUACAUCUGUUUUAUAUACUUCAAAAUAUAUAAUUCAAACUACAGUCUGUGCUGGCUUCCCAGCUAGCAUCAAAUUUUACAGUUUGACUGGGGAUGCACAAAACACAUGUGUGAAAGCAGCUUAGCCCUAGCUGGCCUCCUCCCUACCAGAGGUAUAUUCUGUGUUUUGUCAUGUUUUCACCAUGGAUUGGUGCUCUAUUUAUUACACAUGUGGGGAACCUUUGCCCCCCCCAGAUGUUGCUGAACUACAACUCCCAUCAGCCACAGCAAGCACAGCCAAUUACCAAGGAUAAUGGAAGUUGUAGUUUAUCAACAUCUGGAAGGUCAAAUUUCCCACACCUGAUUUAUUAGGUGAUUCAUGGAACUUCUAAUUGUGCAUUUUAUGUCUUUAAGUAUAUGAUGUGUCUAAGUUAUUAAAUCAUUUUGGCAAAUGUAUUUCUUAUUCAACAAAAAAUACGUGUGAUAGGAGGCAGCAUGGCUCCAGAGCAAGCUGUACAUGCAUCCUCUUGUGUGGAAAUCUGUUUUACAUAAAUGUGUGGCUGAGAGAUGUUGUCUUUUGUAUGUGACAGAGUUGCUGUUUUCGAACAAUAUGUUUACGAGAAGGUUGAAUCUGUGUUCCCUGGAAUGAAAGUAUCAAAUGUAGCAAGGUUGCACAUAGCAUCCUUGAGUGAUCUAGGAGUGUUUUUUUAAAAAAAACAUAUAUUAAAAGCUGUUCAAGCCUUGAUUUUAAGAUUUUUGUGACAGCAAAAUUGCCACUGUCAACAUAAAGGCAAAAUAUAAACCUGAAAGGAGCGGCAGGGGUGCGGUGGGAGACAACUCCACAGCAAGUCUCGGCUUUCAGUGGCCAAAAAUAAACCAGUUCUUGGCUGAAAGACAUAAGUGCUAUUGUGAAAUUGAUAUCCCUUCUUGGCUUAUUCCCAGACAAUAUGUUGCCUUUCUGGGGGCUGAUCAAUAUGAUUGAUGUGAUGUGUGAAAUUCAGGAGGGAGCUCCCCUUUAAUCAAGCCCACUCUCCUCGACAGAUAGGCAGCUGCGGACUAACAUGUUCUUCAAACUGUCUCCUCCCCGCUGCCCAAACGGAGGGGAAAAGGAAGAGCAAACUGCAAAAAGGGAACAUGAGAUGGCAGCAAGCGCGCAGUGCAUUGGAGAAAUCUGUGCACACACACCCCACCGCUCCAAGUGUCAUAAACAAGCCACAAAAGAUGGUCAUUUCAGGCUACUUCGAAGGGACGGUGAUGAAGUUGUUCCUAUCUGCUUAGCAACUCAGCUUGGGAAUCUGGCUGCUUUCCGAGAGCUUCCGCCCUCUCUUUCUCUGUUAUAAUAUUGAUUUGCUACUGGUAUCAAAUUUUUUUGGCUUGCACAAGGAUGAAAUAAGUCGAGCUAAAAAUAUCAGAUGAAGGUUGCAACACUUUACUCUUUUAGACAUGAUGCAAUUAUCUGUGCAAAGAAUUUUAAGUACCAGCUCUCCCCGGCAAGAAAACAUUCCUGGGUCGCGAGCCUAUAGGUUUUCCCUACGCUUAUACAACAGAAGAGGCGCUGCCUGUUUUGAACGGCAGCGCUUUUGAAAGGAAAGGGGAAAGAUAGGGAUUGUGUUCUUUCAAAACCAAGCAGCAAUUAAAUUGUUAAUGCUUUCCCCCUAGAUGGUGUUACAAAUUAAACCGAUUACAUUGAAUCGAUUAACAUUACAGGAGGGCCUUCCUUUUUAAUAAUAAUUUUUAAAAGGUUUCCCAUGGUUGUUUCGGAGGUAUGAACCUCAUUUUGUUAACCUUUCCAUGUGUUGCAAGAUUCACCGAUCACCACCUGGUGCCAGAUUGCCGACUAAUUAUGUCAUAAGCAAUCUCCUAACCAUGUGUAGUUAGCUCUGCCUGGAAAAGAUAGAGCACCUUAAAUGGCUGAAUACUUUUCUCAGAGGAGCAUUUUGAACCAUCGACAGACAGCUAAAGAGAACAACGAAGAGAGCAAGGGCAGGUGAAUAACAGUUGGCUCCUCAGAUCCCUCGAUGGAACGUGUUCUUUUCCCAAGAUCUCAGACAGAAGCACCCAUCAGGAAUCUCAGCUAGAGUUCCAAUGGCAGAGCAUCCUUUGAGCCUGGUUUCAACAAUGGAAAGGUGCAUACAAAUAAAGCUAUGUAUGUAUGUAUGUAUGUAUGUAUGUAUGUGUGUAUGUAUGUAUAAAAUUCCCACCAACCCCAGCCAGCAUGGUCAAUAGCCAGAAAUGAUGGGAGUUGUAGUCCAACAACUUCUGGGGAGCCACAUGUUCGCUAUCUCUUCCCUGUAAGCACUAGCAAUUUCGUCAGAGGCAAGGACACCAAAAAAAUAACAGGGGCUAUGCAUGGAAGGCUGAUCGCCGAAGAAUUGAUGCUUUUGAAUUAUGGUGCUGGAGGAGACUCUUGAGAGUCCCAUGGACUGCUAGAAGAUCAAACCUAUCCAUUCUGAAGGAAAUCAGCCCUGAGUGCUCACUGGAAGGACAGAUCGUGAAGCUGAGGCUCCAAUACUUUGGCCACCUCCUGAGAAGAGAAGACUCCCUGGAAAAGACCCUGAUGCUGGGAAAGAUGGAGGGCACAAGGAGAAGGGGACGACAGAGGACAAGAUAAUGUUCUCAAAGCUACCAGCAUGAGUUUGACCAAACUGCGGGAGGCAGUGGAAGACAGGACGACUAAACAACAACAACAUGUAAAUUCUCAGUUUACUCCGAACCUCUGCUGGUUGUAGGUAUGACCCAACCUGAACUUUGCCUGUAGAUUUCUCUUUGCUUCUUUUGGAGCUGUCCAUGGUACUGCUUCCUUGCUGACCAGACUCUCAGUUGCUUCUUACUACAGCACCAGUGAGGGGUAAGUUUCCUUCACCAGACCUGAUGGCAACCAGCUAUGGCACUUGCAAUUUUGUCCUCCAAGAGAUUAGAACAUCACGGGGGGUGCUCCAGAGGAAUGACCCUCCCUCUACGCUAGCAUAUGUUGCCUGAGGCACUUUCUUCGCUCUGUUUCGUACUGUCCUCACGUUCCAUUUUGUUUAUUCCUGGGCCUUUCCCUAUUGCUCAUAAUGGCUUCCGACUCUCCCAUCUUAUUCCCAACAGCCAUUUAUUGCAUGCUGCCAUUCAUACCUACUCACAAAUCCAUAAUAAUUCCACCAAAAUGUGUUUAUGUGUGUGUGUUUUUUAAAGACUUUUCAAAGGCCAGGCCUUGCCUUCUAAAGCAGAUGGGCAAUCAAACCUGGAUAAAGAGGCUCGUUUCCUUCAAUCAAAGGAGCAGAAAUAAUGAAUUUCACUGAAAACUGUGUUGUCCAAUGGGCAAGAAAAUUAUUAACUUUCUUUUGCAGAGGUGAGCUACAACUUGCAACUGUUUUACUCCCAGAGACUAUGCAGCCCAACAUGAUAAGAGGAAGUAUUACAAAGUAAUUAAACAUUUCAAAUGAGAAUCAGUUCAGCAAGCCACAUAUGUGGAGUGAGUCGACACACCCACACUUACAGUGAUUGUAUACUAAUAAUAGUGGCACUGGUGGUUGUGAUCACUGUUUGGAAAUAGCUGUGGAGGAUGAGUAUCCCAUUAAAUGCAGGUUCACUAAAGUCAAGCACAAGGAUUUCACGCACUGAGAGGAGUUGGGCCACUUUGGCGUGUACUGCAGAUAAUGUCUAAAGCACAAAGGCUGCCAAAAUCUUAUUUGUCCUUCAGAUGAAGUCCAUAUUGACUGUCUAAAAAAAAACCUACCCAGCAACCCACCCUCUUUGUAUGAGCCAUUAUUUUCAAAUUGUUUCCCAACUUAUACUGCAGUUGAAAAUUGGACAGCUCUUCAAUGGUGGCUGCAUUUCAAUUGAUUAUCAAUACAGUUUUUCAGAAUUAAGAAUAUUGUUCUAUUCUUUUCCUUGGCAUCAUGUUGACUUUGUGUGGUGGUCAUUUCAAUAUUGCUGUACAAUUUUGUGUUGGACUCUUUGGCAUUAAGAUAACGCACGAGUGAAUCAAUUAGAUUUAUUAUCUCCCCUCGAAGGGUACGGUAGGCGAUAAGGCAAACUCUAUACAUAAUGUAGGAUUUAUUUUCAAGGGCUUUUAUGAUUACAUAGCUGCAGUUAUCCAGGUGCAACUCGGAGUGUCACAUACAGAUGCCUGGAAGUUUCUGUUUAAAACACAACAAAACAGGACUGCAUUAUAAAGGGUUUCCAUGGUGAGUUUGCAUGGGCAAUUUAUACAGGGAAAGGACACCAAGAGGGGAGACUCUUCCAGAUGGAUGAAAAGGCCUUUGCCAUAGAUGGUCAUCUUUGUAUUGUUUUAAAAUCUAUUUUCAGGAUUUUUGUUUUGUUUUGUAAAUCGCCUUGACCCACACAGAGAAGGCAAUUUGUAAACUGAUACAUAAGUAUUACAAUAAAAAUUCAUUGUAACUCAGGAAGCUGUCUAGUACCAUCAGACUGUAAGUCCAUCUAGUUCAGUUUUGUCUACAUCGGUAGCAAUCUCACCAGAGUUUCAAGCUUUGCCUAAAAAUAUCAAGGAUUGAAACUCGAACCUUCUGCAAUCAAAGCAGGUGUUCUACCACUGAGCUACAGUCCCUCUUAGCAGUGCUCCUCCUUGUGGUAGAAGAGAAGCAAGAUAAUAGGAAAGGAACUAUUUGUUUCAAGCAGAAACAUCUCACAUACUUGUGCCUCUGAGUUGCUUCUGACAUGAUAGAAGACUUUCCAAAGAGAGAGUGUGGAUGCUUUUACACUGAAAUGUUAUAUGGAGUUUUACCACCCAUGAGCUGUGCCCAACAGAAUGCAGGGCUCCUUUUUGCCAAGUGGAAGCACACUUAUAAGAAUGAAAAGCUGUAAAUGGAUUUGCAGUCCAUAUCUAACUUGCUGGUUUCUGCUACUUGAGAUGCCAUUACUGGUUUUGGGUUGCUUCGUAAAUGGCAGUUGAUGCUUUUGCAGCACUGGAUACAAUUUUGUGCUUUCCCCUUAUUAAUUACUUAUUUAUUCAAUUUCUGUACUCCCCUUCAUUGUGAGGAUCACAGGGCCAUUUACAAUAUAAAGUGAACUAGGCUAGAAGUGCUCCUCAAUUUCAGCUUCUGCUGUAUUCUCAUAGCAAGGAGAACCUCCUCAGAGGUUUCCCAAACUUCUAACAUUCCCAGUUACAGUGUUCCAUCACUUUCCCUUCUGAGAGAAUGCCCUACUUCUGUUUUCUUCUUCCUUUUAUACUACUACUAGACAUUCUUAUUUGGAAUAAUUUCUGAAUUUGGUUCAAUGAGUGACUUUGGUUAGAACAAGCCUCAGUUCCCUGUGUUUGGGUGUAACAUGGAACUGUGGUUUGCUCAUGACAUUGUCACAGCCAUGUUUGACAGAUAUAUUUCAGACCCAACUCUCUUAUCACUAGGCUGCUCUGGCUAUGGUUUUAGAACCCAAAUUUGAAAUAGUGAGUAAAAUAUGAAACUCAUCACUGAUUACUCAUCUGUGAAUUAGAUUAUUUUGGAAGAAAUAGAUGCACAACAUAUGUAGCAGGGAAACAGCCUUCACAAGUCCCAGUUCUGGAAAUGAAGCAUCAGAUAUAAUGAAAAGCUUGGCUGGAGACAUAUUUGUCUGUUAAUUGUUGUUAUAGUUAAUAUUUUUUAGAAACAGAAAUGCUUUUAAAGAUAAAUACCUCUAAUGCAUCUAUUGAUUUCCUUUAUUUAAACUAUUAAUAAACUGACUCAAACAGUCUCUUUUUUAAAAAAAGAGAAGGGAAUAAAAUAGGAUGCAGGUACCCACAAAAUGUUUUCUGUGUAUUUCCAAGCGGUUUAUGUAUUAAAACUGGAAUUAAAACUGAUUGGCUGAUAAUGAGUGCAGAUGCUGACCUUUGGAGAGAUUUAUUAGUCCUGCAAACGAUGAACUGGGCUCCCUGCACCUUGUGACCUUGACAGAGAGAUACAGAAAUAACCUUUGGUAUAUUUAACCCUUUCUGGGUGCUAAAAAUAGAUUCUGGGGGGAAAACACGAGCAAGUUUUUAAAUAAUAGAAUUAUCAAUGAGUUAAAUGUUACUGCUAGAUCAAAAAGUAAGAUUUUGGUGGGGAAAGAGAGUGCUAUGAUCAGCUGAUUCUUCAGCACUAUUUUGGAACCUUGCAGAUUCCUUUUUUCUGCAUGAUAUACAAGAGAGAGAGAGAAAAACUUGUGUGCGUGAUACAUUUUUGUAAACUCUAAACUAUUCAGGCAGACCUAUUAAUUUUUCUGGAAGAAACAUAGCCACCUUUUUGUGAUUGUACUAAAUUAAGAUUUCUCUCCCACCAUACACCAAGAGUUUUUAAUAUAUGAAUUAGCUCAUUAAAAAAAACAGUUAAUGCCCCACCACAAGAAUAUUCUAUGUCCCUGUUGUAAUAUUUUGUCAUGAUCACUUCUGAAUCUAGUGGUACCUUGGUUGUCGAAUCGGUUCCCAAACACCACACACCCAGAAGUAAGUGUUCCUGUUUGUGAAGCCGAACAUUUUUUGGAAGCCGAACAUUCUGACGUGGCUUCUGCAGCUUCCAAUUGAGUACAGGAAGCUGCUGCAGCAAAUUGGAAGCCAUGCCUUGGUUUUCUAAUGGUUCCAGGAGUCAAAUGGACUCCCAGAAUGGAUUAAGCUCAACAACCAAGGUACCACUGUAUUUGCAACAUGAGACACUAUCCUUUCCCUUGGGAAUUCAAUUUUCAUGGAGGCCCCAGGUCACAUUUCUUAAAAUAAAAUUCCAGGGUGUCAUCAGUGCCUAGAAAUUCAGUAGGGAACCCUGAAUCAGUGAUAUCAAUAUAUAUAUAUAAAGAGAGAAUUGCAAAGCAUUGGCCAGGGUGGGGGAAGUUAUUGACUGCCUCCGCUCUGGCAGGGUUGUACUUCCUGAGGGUUUCGUUGCAAACACAACUGCUGGCUGCAAACACCAACUCAUCCUCCUCCCUGAGCUUGGCGGUGGCGGCGCUGGAGGGAGGAAACAGGACAUUCUGGGAUCAUAUCAGAAGCCAGGCUGUAAUUCCAGUAAAACUGGGACACUUGAAGGGUAUGCCCUCUUCCUAGAGGCCCGAUCUACACACCCAGACAGAUGAAGAGAACUAGGUGAGUAGAAGAUGCAACUCCUCCUUGCUCCUUCCACUGCUCACUUGCUCAGCAUCAGCAAGGAGGAGCAGCAACAGGGCUAGAAGGCGCCAGCUAAUAGAAGUGGAGGGCCCUAGUGGGGCAUGGCCUUGUCUAUUGCCUGAUGAUGCUCACUACUGGUGCCAGUCCUCAGAAAUUGCCUGCAGUGAGCUAUUUUUAAGAUCUGCAAUCAGUGUAUUUGACUCAGUGGCACUUACUUCGAAAUGAACGUGCAAGUCUCUCAUGUAAACAUGCCCUGCCAAAGUAAACAUAACCUAUGCCAAAAUCUUCUGGAAUUGAACAUUUGCAUUUAGUGUUGGUUUAGCACCCAUCCCAUAGCCUAAAGUCUCUCUACCCAAGCUGACCAGGGUGGUCUCCACAUUGGCAUUAGAAUUCCCAAGGCUUAUUGUCUUGGAUGACUUCAAUGAUCAUAUCAUGUUCAUACCUGGCUGGAACAGUUCAGGUUUUCAUAGCCAUGGGCCUGUCCCAAAUGAUUUUUAAUUUUUUUAACCCUUUACAAAUGCUUUCAAAUAAAUGAAUGAAUGAAAUAGGACCUGUUCCCAUAUACUGGGCCUUGUUUGUUUUUCUGGAUAGGGAAAAGAUGUUCUGAGAGUGUUGGAAGUUGAUAUGUUUCCCCUUGUCCUGGACAGAUCAUUGCCUGGUCAGGUUUAGAUUCUGGACAGCUGUAUAAGUGCACAACCCCAGUAUUUGAACUGUUGGGCUGGAUAUCAUGUGAAUGUUCCUUUAUUUCCAAAUGAAGCAUACAAGUUCGGUCCAUCCGGCUAAAUCUAUUCUGAGAAUGCAACAACUGGUUACACGGGCAUCUCAUAGAUAAGAGCAGGGUUGUUUUUGUUCUGCUUUGGGAAGCUCUGUGAUCAAGACGGCAAUCUGUUUUGUCUGUUGCCUCUGACAGUAUCAGAGGGGACCUGGCUCGGCUAGAUUGAUUGGUACCUCCAGCUUAGCCGUUUCCGUGCAGAAUGGCUAGGUUUUUUGCCUAAUGAUGUUACAUUUGUCCUGCAGAUGAUGUAGAGCAUGCUACAGAGAAUGAACAGCUCGGCUCUGAUCGCUCCUUAUUUGGCAAGCACUCACAUUUCACACCAACCCUCCCCAGCCCCAUUAAUAUUAUAUAUAGAUACCCUUGUCACAGAUUUACAUUCGGUGAUCCGAAAUCAGGACGGAAAGGGUGAAAUGUAUGAGGGGGGUAGGGGUGAGGAGGUGAGCUGAUUUAUUAUAGGGAAUGUUGAAGAAUAAAAAGAAAGUGAUCAAAUUUAUAUUAAUGCUCUGACCUACAUUCUCAAGCACUGUUUCUCUCUCUUUUUUUCCAAACACAAACACACACACAACGCAGAACUAAAGCUUCCAUAGCUAUGCUUCCAUAUGAUAGAUUUCUUUAGAGCAAGGGUAGACAAUGUGGGGGUCCCCAGAUAUCCGGUAAUACUGCUCCCAUCAUUCCUGACCAUUGACUAUGGUGGCUGGGGCUGAUGUGAGUUGUAGUCCACAACACAACAAAGGCAACACAACACAACAAAGGCUAAUCUCUGUUUUAAGAAUAAAAUCUGCUGCUUUAGCUGUGCCAUUUGUUCUUUCCAGUGUUAGCUUCUCCACAACUUAAUGAAUGCUUUCUUAUUUUCAUCUCUUUCUCUUAUUAAGGUUUGGAAAUGGGGUCAGAUCAAGAUAAAGCUGGCUGAAAGUUCUCUCUGGCAACACAAGAACGGGCCCUUUCUGUGGUGGCUCCCUGUUUGUGGAAUGCUCUCCCCAAGGAGCGUCACCUGGUGCCUUCAUUACAUAUCUUUAGGCACCAGGCCAAAAAUAUUCCUUUUCUCCCAGGCCUUUGGCAAAUUAAACAAUCUAUGACCUUUUAAUUGUGCUUGUGGGAAGUGGGUUAUUGGUUUGUUGUUGUUUUCUGUUGUGUCUUUUGUGUUCUCAUUUUGUAUUUUUAUUUUCUAAACUGCCUUGUGAUCUUUCAGUGGUGGUAUACAAAUUUAGUAAAUAGUAGUAGUAGUAGUAGUAGUAGUAGUAAUAAUAAUAAUAAUAAUAAUAAUAAUAAUAAUAAUAAUAAUACAGUGGUUGUGAGGAGAACCUGAGCUUACAGGGUUAAACAGCUCAGUGUGUACGCUCUGCCUACUGCUGGGAGGGAACUUCUACGUCAGUUCCGAGAGACUCAAGUCUUUGUUCUUUCUCUCUACUUUCGCUUUUGAGGAGAGAGGACGUGUUUUCGCGAUGCUGUUCGCUGUGAUAGAUAAUGGAUAGCCUGCUGUAAAUAAAACUGCUUUUAGCUGCUAAGAUCCUGUGUGGACUUUAUUUAAGCACACCGAAGAAUGCACUGGAGUGUUUUGCAGCUUCCUCUUGCCGCUGUUGAACUCUGCUAUGCUCAGAAGUAUCGGAAUGUGCCCUUUGGAAUGCAGAGGCCUGCGAUGGGCGUGCCGGACCUCACGCUUAUCUGAGCAAUAAAUCUAACAGGUUAUGGGGGCAGUUAAUGCAAUUAGAGGAAGCCUGCCUUUGAUGUGCUGUGUGCUUAAGAAGGCUGAGAAACUGAGAAGCUGUUGUUUUUGCUACCGGAAGGCAAAAGUCCUGCUUUGAGGCUUCGCCUGGGAGAAAGCAGGGAAGCUGGCUGCAAGCUGUGUGCUGCAAAGCUGGAUGCAAGCUGUGUGCUGCAAAGAGCCACUGGAGGCCUCUCCUUUGAAGCUGGCUGGUACGCGUGAGUACUUCAAAGCCCCAAUGGGAGUACUGGGGGAGGAGAUGGCUGAGCUCCAGGACUUUUAUGAUGUCCCGUUUGAAAAGCUCACAACCCAGUCCUGGGAUAUCUGGGUUAGAAGAGUCAGGGGGUGGUUUUUGGCCACAGGGUUCUGGAGUAUAACCCAGAAGGAGCCCGCCCCACCCAUGCCAGUUGCUGCUGAAGAGGGAGGAGCAGAACUGGAGGCUGCACUCCUGGAAGAUAGAGAGCUGAGAAUGCAAAGGGAGCUCUGCAUGUUGAGAGCAAGCGUGGACGCUAUGCUGUUGCCCCACCUGGAGGGCAUUGAGUCGGCUCAGGCCGCCUGGCAGGUGCUGAGGAGUCUGUGUGAGAACUCAGCAGGAGCCCAGGGCCGGGAGGAAGCCGAGAGCAGGGAGGAAGCCGAGAGCCCAGAGGGGGCUGCUGGCCAUGUUCCUGAAGUUACAGCUGGGAGUAGCUGCUUUGACUCCGAGGGGCCGUGUGAAGUUGAGGCCUACAACCAGAGUGCUGGGGAGCGUGCAGGCCCAGGCUGUGCACCUAAAGGUGGGGGUGCUGGGAACAAAGGAAUGGCUGAAGAGGGAGCUGUGAGAGCUGUUGCUACGCGUCGCCGCUGUUAUCGCUGUGGCUCCCCCUCCCAUCUGGUGAGAGAAUGUCCAGUGGAGGAACAGCCGAAGGCCGUCUCCCGUAGCAACCAGAUAAAGAGCUCUUCUUCAAAGCGUGGGAAAGGCAAGCCGAAGGCAGCUGGCAGAGACACUGAACGUAAACAUUUGGCUGCCUCUAUGGCUGUAGUCAAAAGUUGUCAACAGGAUGCAGAGCUGGCUUUUGUGAUAGACUCAGGAUCGUCUCAUCACCUAGUGCCAUCUGGUGGAUUCCUGGAGAACUGCACCUCUGUAAAAUCUGGGAAGACUGUCUGUUUAGCAGAUGGGACUCGACACCCACUCACGCAGACUGGCUCACUGUUUUGUUCUUUCUUGCAGGACUCAAUCCAGGCUUUUGUUGUUCCAGGACUGUCCUGCGCGUUGCUGUCUGUCAGUGCACUUCUUGCUGAGAACUACAGAGUGUGUUUUGAGAACAAUAAGUGUUCUAUUUCUAAGAAUGGACAGCACCUAGUCAGUGUUGAAUGUAAAGGCAGGUUGUUUGUGAUAAAUGCUUCUUUUGCAGGUCCAGAUGACACGGAUGACACGGAGGAGGCUCAAGCGCAGUGUGCCAGUGUUCCAGUUCAUGAUGCGUGUGCCCAUCUCUGGCACCGACGCAUGUCACACGUGUCGUGGGGGUCAGUGAUGAAGAUCCCAGAGUAUACGCAAGGGUGCAAAAUGAAAUCAUGUGCUAAGUUUCUAGAUUGCAGAGCGUGCAAGUCCGCAAAGGUGAAAACGUGCUCAUACCCAAGGUCUGAGAGGGUGACCACCAGGGCUUUUCAAUUAAUUCAUGCAGAUUUGUGUGGACCGUUUUCUGUGAGCAGUUUGGGCGGAGCCAAAUUUUCGCUGGUUCUGAUUGAUGACCAUACGAGGAAUUCUUGGUGUUUUUUGCUUCAACGCAAAGAUGAAGCUGCGCCGCUAAUCAAAGACUGGAUUGCGGCUGUGGAACUGCAGUUUUCCACACGGGUGCAAAACUUUCAGAGCGAUCGCGGUGGGGAGUUCACCGGGUCUGCACUGCAAAGUUUCUUCCGCAAAAGGGGGAUUCAACACAGGUUGACUUCUCCACACAGUCCCCAACAGAAUGGGAUCGCGGAACGCAGGAAUAGGACUCUAGGGGAGAUGUCCGCAGCUCUUUUGUUUGAUGCCGGGCUCCCACAGCGUUUUUGGGGGGAGGCUUGGCGAACGGCCAACUUCGUUCUGAACAGGUCGUUCAAUUCAGUAGUAGGUGACACACCGUAUUUCUUGCUCCAUGGCAAGAAACCGAAAGUGCACUACUUCCGCGUUUUUGGCUGUGAGGCUUGGGUCCUCAUACCAAAGGCCAAACGCAAGAAAGGUGAACCCAGGUCCCAGAAGAUGAUUUUUGUGGGUAUGAGCCAGGGACCAAGGGGUGGAGGUUUGCUUAUCCGUCAGGGAAUCAGUCCAGGAUUCUGCUCAGCAACAGUGCUGAAUUCUGUGAGCAGAGUGGCUGGGCAAGGAUACAUGGGAACCCUGACAUCCUGUCAGAGAGUCUGCUAGACUCUGCUGAUGAAGGAGAGGAAGAGGUUGAACCUGCUACUGAGGCUCAGAGUCCAGGCCCAGUGCAGGCAGAGGGGAGAACUUCUCCCAAGGCUGUGAAGAGUGAGCAACGCAGUGCUCCAUCUUCCCCCACAGGUUCGGCUGAGAAGUCCAGAAGGCGCAGUAAGUCAGAGGGGCAGCUCUCUGAUGCCAAGGACGUUCUGGCUGGCCCUAGUGGGUCAGAGGGGGUUCCUGAAGUAGUGCUGCGCCGUUCCACGCGGACGACCAAGGGGAAACCUCCUGAAAGGUUUGCCGUCACUAGCGUGUGGGUCGGAAUGGCACAGUGUGAACCCGAAAGUUUUGAGGAUGUUCAGAAACUGCCUCAGGAAGAAGCCAGGAAAUGGCAUGAGGCGAUGCAGAAGGAGAUGAACUCAAUGGAGUCUCUAGGUGUGUUCUCCCUCACGAAGUUGCCGGUGGGUGAAAAGGCAGUGGGUAGCCGCUGGGUUUACCGUCUUAAGCCCACAGCGGCAGGAGAACCGCAGUAUAAGGCCAGAUUAGUGGCGAGAGGAUUCACGCAGCAGAGGGGUUGCAUUAUACGGAGAUUUAUGCGCCCACGUGUAGGAGUGAAUCUCUACGCUUGGUCUUGGCCAUCGCUGCACAAAGAGGUUUGCUGGUGCAUCACUUUGAUGUGGAUGUUGCUUACUUGAACUCAGACCUCCAGGAGGAUCUGUACAUGCUUCCUCCUCCAGGGUUUGAGGGCAAUGAGCGAGGUACUGUGUGGAAACUUCACAAGUCAAUUUACGGCCUGAAGCAGUCGGCCAGGAAUUGGAACUUGUGCCUGAAUGAAGCUUUGGAGAAGCUAGGUUUCAGGAAGAGUCUUGCUGACAGUUGCCUGUUCCUUAGAGGAUCAGGAGACUCACAAGAACUGGUGUUGUUUUACGUUGAUGACAUCAUCCAUGUUGGAAAGGCAGACAAACAGGUGCAGAAGUUUGCCAAAGAGCUUGGGAAACGGUUUCAGCUCAAGAACCUGGGUGCAGUAAAGAUCUACCUAGGCGUCCAGAUAGCGAGAACUGAGGAUGGUAGCUUCUUGCUCAGUCAGAAAGGCAAGAUUGAGCAGUUGCUGGAGAAGUUCAGAAUGUCCGAUUGUACAGGAGUUUGGACACCCAUGGAGACGAACUUCGUGAAAGAUAGCCAGCAAGCAGAAAGUGCUGAGUUUGAGAAUGCUGAGAUCUUUCAGUCAGCUCUAGGUAGUCUGUUGUAUCUGUCCCAAUGGAGCAGACCAGACAUUGCCUUUGCUACCAACCUGCUAAGUAGGGAAGCGUCAAAGCCCAGUGUGAGUGCUUGGCACGGUAUCAAGCGGGUACUGCGCUACCUGCAGCAUACCAAAGACUUCUGUCUUAAGCUGCCAGCUGAAGGUGAGGCGAAGCUCACAUGCUAUGCGGACAGUGACUGGGCGAAUUCGCAGGACCGCAAGUCUGUGUCUGGGUUGGUGAUAAAGUUUGGGAAGUCACUAGUUGGGUGGAAGUCCCGGAAGCAAAGUCUCAUUGCGCUGUCUUCUACUGAGGCUGAAUUCAGUGCAUUGUCAGAUUUGUGCCGAGAACUAGAGUUCUAUAGAUGCUUGGUGCAAGAGAUCUAUGGGGAUUGUCGCUUGCCCAUCACGGUUUGGGAAGACAAUCAGCCUUGUUUGAAGUUGGCUGAAUCUGCGCAAUUUAAGGCGAGAACCAAGCAUCUGGACAUACGUUUCCAAAAUGUGUGCCAGAGUGUUCAGUCAGGUUUGAUACGACUGAAGUACUGUGCCAGUCACAGUAACCUGGCCGAUGGAUUUACCAAACCUUUAAGCUUCCAGCGUCAUGGGGAGUUUUGUGGUGGUUUGGAGUUGGGGGUAAGUUCUGUACUUACUGUCCCCACAGUAGCGCAGAGCGAGAGGGGGUGUGAGGAGAACCUGAGCUUACAGGGUUAAACAGCUCAGUGUGUACGCUCUGCCUACUGCUGGGAGGGAACUUCUACGUCAGUUCCGAGAGACUCAAGUCUUUGUUCUUUCUCUCUGCUUUCGCUUUUGAGGAGAGAGGACGUGUUUUCGCGAUGCUGUUCGCUGUGAUAGAUAAUGGAUAGCCUGCUGUAAAUAAAACUGCUUUUAGCUGCUAAGAUCCUGUGUGGACUUUAUUUAAGCACACUGAAGAAUGCACUGGAGUGUUUUGCAGCUUCCUCUUGCCGCUGUUGAACUCUGCUAUGCUCAGAAGUAUCGGAAUGUGCCCUUUGGAAUGCAGAGGCCUGCGAUGGGGGAAGCGUGCCGGACCUCACACUUAUCUGAGCAAUAACCUCGGGUUAAGUACUUAAUUUGUUCUGGAGGUCCGUUCUUAACCUGAAACUGUUCUUAACCUGAAGACCACUUUAGCUAAUGGGGCCUCCCGCUGCCGCCGCACCGCCGGAGCACAAUUUCUGUUCUCAUCCUGAAGCAAAGUUCUUAACCUGAGGUACUAUUUCUGGGUGAGCGGAGUCUGUAACCUGAAGCGUAUGUAACCCGAGGUACCACUGUAAUAAUAAAAACAAUGGAAUAUAAGUCCCCCAAUACUACAGAAGUCAUUAAUAAAUUGUCCCAUUGAAAUCAAUGCAACCUAGACUCAAUAGCUUAGUCUGGAUCCAACCCAAGUUUGGCACAAAACACAUUCAUAUUUUCAAAUGGUCCUUGAGAAUAUUGCAUCAAGUUCAAUCAUUGCUGGCAGGGUGGUAGCGUACUUGGUAAAGAGGCAUCUCUGCAGCCAAUUCACACAUUACAAUUUUACUGCUAAGAUAUUUUGAGUGUACACUUUAAGAGGCAUAGUGUGAUGGCACUAGCAUGCACACUGAUACUUGGUGGCAAAUCCAGUUUUGCUAUUGUGCAAAGUAUUAAUGACUCUUGGCCUUCUUUAUAUAGGCUAUUACUCAGCAUCUUUCCUUCCUUUUUCACCAGAGUUUGUUAUAAGCUCUCCAAGGUUAUGGGCUGUACAAAGCUGUCAUAUCAAUCUUAGAAGUGAACUGAAUCAAAGUUUGAAAGUUUACCUGCAUUCAUCCGUGGUGAACAUAUGACGUAAGAAGCUGCCAGAAUACUGACUGACUCAGGCCACUGAUUCUGCUCCUGUCCCACACCACCACCAAUUUCUGGACACUCAGAACUUAAUAACUUGAGAGAAAGGCACUAUUCACGUGCAAAUUAGGACUCAUAAACUGAAAAUUAAAAUAAAGAUGCAAUAUUAAAGGUGCCUGUGGAAUGGCUAACUCUAUCAAAAUGAGUAGGACUUCGGAGGACACAUGUUUAGGAUCUUAAGUAUUAAUCUUCUAGUUUAAUGUCGAUAUUUAGUGGCCUGACUGCAGGCAGUGCUGGAUAAUAUGGAUUAUUUGGUUGCAUUUCAAUAAAGUUUUAGACCUAGUUAUGGAACAGAAACAGCCUUGAUUGCUCUGUUGGUUGCAUCAGGGAAUACAGUAAGUAGAAGGACUACAACCCAGUGAGUUCUCCUAGACCUCUUAGCAGCAUUUUCGGCCACCAAUCAUGGCAUUUUCUUGGGCCAGUUAUCUGGACUGGGCUUAGGAGUCAUGGUGAUAUACAGUGUUUCUGGUCCUUCCUGAUACGUCAUCACGAGAGAGCAGCCUUUCUCCCCCCAAUGACCAUUGGUCUGUGGGGUGUUCAAAUUCAAAUUCUGAAACUCAUGCUAUUUAAUAUCUACGUGGAGCUACUGGGAGGCAUAAUCUGAAAGCUUGGGCUGAAGUGCCAUUGGUAUGCAGACAUUACUCAAUUCUACCUCUGCUUCCCACCAACCCAUCUCAGAGAGGCUCCUAAACCAGUGUUUGGAGGCCAUUUUCAGAUGUAUGGGAAGGUGCAAUACAAAGCUUAAUACAGAGGUGGGGAUGUUGGACAUGUUGCAAGUGGGGAAACUGGUAAACCCCAGAGAAAGGACUGGUAGCUUGUCCUUCAUGAGGUUGCACUUACUCCGAAGGAACAAGUUUGCAGGUUGUAGGUACUGCUGGACUCAUCGCUCACUGGGGAAGCUCAGAUCAUGAUGAUGGCUAGGAGUGCCUUGUAGGAGCUUAGACUAGUGCACCAACUGCAACCCUAUCUAGAGAAGUCAGAUCACAACUCAGUUGACUGUGCACUGUCACAUCCAGUGCAUGCCUUUGGGAAUGGCUCUGGUACAAAAUGCAGCCACCCUGUUACAGUAGACUCUUGGGUUACGUUGUUCUUGAGUAACGUAAACUUCGGGUUGCAAAAGUGGCAAACUCGGAAGUAUUUUUACAGGUUUCACCACUCGCGCAUGCACAGAAGCUCUCUAUCACGCCACACGUGUGUGCAGAAGCGGCACCUCUGGAUACGGAUUCUUAGGGGUGCACACAGACCCCCGGAACAAAUUAAAUUUGUAUCCAGAGGGUCCACUGUAUUACUGGUAGGGACAAGGCAGCCAUAACAUGUAACACCCAUUAUGUAUCAGUUGUACUGGUUGAAAGUGUGUUUCUGGGCCCAGAUCAAAAUGCAGGUUAUUGCCUUUAAAGCCCUGAAGGGCUUGGGACCAGGUUACCUAAAGGACCACUUGCACCCAUAUAAUUGUACCCAUAUCUUGACAUCUAGCUCAGAGAACCAGCUGUAACUCAUGCCUGUAAAAGUGAUUAGCCUGGUCAACAUGCAAAACAGGGCCUUCUGGCAGUGGUACCCCUAUUAUAGUAUGCAAUUUCUAUGGAUAUUAUGCAGGUCCCAUCUCUCAUGUUUUUUAGAAAAAACUUUAAAGGCCUAUUCUCAAAUUAUGUUCAUCUCCUCCAGUGUUUUUUAGGGGAAUUCAUGCUCUAACGUACCUGUUUACAUAUGGAACAUGAUAUUUUAGGAUCCUUCAAACCAAGUCAGUGGAUACAAAGCAAAGUUGAGAGUAAUGAAGCCCAAAUAUGACAGUGUGUGAACCAAGGUGAAUUAAUUCAUGUCUAGCUGUAUAUUGAUGAUAAUCAAGAGGUAUAUCAAGCAUGAAUUAAUAUUACCAUCAAUGCAACAAGCCAUGAAUGAUCCCUUAAUGUCUUCCCGCAAUUACAAAAUUUUCUUACAAAAUGCAUUUAAAUAUUAUAUACAUUAAUUUAGUUUCAAGGCCCAAAAUUAUGUCGCACAAUAUUAAUCUCAAUCCUCUGUAUUCUCUUAUAAGCCAGUUGUAUCACUUGAUUUCUUAAACCUACUUUAUAAUUACCUUUAAUUACCAGUUUAUAAUAAGUUUAUUCUGUUAAUUCAAGGUUGUUCAUGCCCUGAAGCAUAAACCAAUAACAGUAUCAUUUGAACCUGUGACUAAUUAGAAAUGUGUAGUGCCAUUAGGUAACUUGCUAAUGGAAAUAAUUUCAUCCUUUAAGUAACCCGCCUACCACUUGCUAUUCCUAUGGAUGAAGUUCUGAAUGUAAGUUCAGGACAAACACUACCUCUCUGGUAAAUAUGUGUGUAUAAAUGAUCACAACAUCAAAAAGCCGAGGGGAAAACCCAUGGGCAUGAAGUAAGCUUGCAUUGCUUGUUUAAGGAGAAAACUACGAGGGCAAAUGAGUAUAGUUUCUCCAAUAAAGCUUUCCUUCAGUGAGUCAUGCUAUAGGAGCGUAUUAGUCGGUGAUCUUGGGAAGAUAGGUGAACUAAUACCAGUGUACUGGAAGAAGCAAAGAUCACCAGUGUUGAAGCAAUGAUUCUUCAACAUCAACUUCGUUGGACUGGACAUGUUGUGUGGAUGCCUGAUGAUCAUCUUCCAAAGCAACUACUCUAUUCUGAACUUAAAAAUGGAAAGCGUAAUGCUGGUGGUCAACAAAAGAGGUUUAAAGACUGUCUCAAGGCAAUUUUUUUGUAUAAACAGCAACAAUUGGAAACACUCGCCUGCCAGUGCUCCAACUGGAGAACAGCCUUUACCAAAGGUGUCAUGGGCUUUGAAGACACUUGAACUCAGGACACAAGGGAGAAACAUGCUAAAAGGAAGGCACGCUUGGCAAAUCCACAUCAUGAUCAACUCCUACCCGGAAACCAAUGUCCCCACUGUGGAAGGACGUGUGGAUCCAGAAUUGCCUCCACAGUCACUUAUGGAUUUAUUGUUAAAACAGUGUUUAUGGAAGACAAUCUUACUCGGCUAUGAGUGAUCGCCAAAGAGAAAGAGAGCUAUAGGAUUCUGGAGAGUCCAAAGGAAAAAGCAGAGGAACAGCUAGAAGUAUUACCUGACUGAAAAAAAAUGUUCAGCUAGCUCAGGAAUUGCUUAUUGGAGUUACUGAAGCCCAGGGCUAAUGCACCUUCUUUGCAUACAGAAUAUUCUGUGUUCAAUCUCCAGCUUCUCCAGUUAAAAGACGUAAUUACCUGAUUAUGGGGAAGGCCUCGACCUGAAAGCCUGGAGAGUUGCUACCCAUCAGAAUAGUACAGGAACAGGGAACCUUUUUCAGACCGAGGGCCGCAUUCUCCCCUGCGCAAUCUUCUGAGGGCCACAUGCCAGUGGUGAAUGGUGAACAGGGCCAAAGGCAAAAGCAGGCAGAGCAAUGAAUGAAAUUGUUACCUUUCUGCUGUAGGCUAGUUUCUAUCUACCCACACUUUUGUGUCCCUCAUCCAGACAAGCAAGAGGCAUUGCUAGACUUCACGGAUGCAUUGCAGGCAGACAAAAUGUUGAUAAUAAUAAUAAUAAUCAAAAGAUCAGUUCAGUUCAUCACCUUUGAGCAGACUUUUGCUUUGGCAGGAGGUAUAAAAAUUAUUGUAAAUAAGUGUUCAGAUGCCCUGCACGCCCUGGUAUGAACCAAAUCACUAUAUUUGUGACCGUCACCCCAGUAUGAUUGUUACAAUUAUUUAAUAAGUCCAGGCACCCCGUCAUAGGGAAGCUAAGAGGAUGCUGACAAGGGAGAGGGCCUGUUCAGUUGUUGCUCCCCAUCUGUGGAAUGCUCUCCCCAACAGGGCCUCCCUGGUGCCUUCACUAACAUCUUUUUGGCUCCAGGAAAAGACUUAUCUUCUUUUCCUCAGGCCCUUGCUUUGUUAUUAGUGAACUGCCAAACUGGCCAUUACGCGGGUAGUUCCAUUUUCAUAUUCAUUUUUGUGGCAUGAUGUGUUAAUAUAAAUGUAUUAAAUAUGUUGUAAGUCACUUGGAGCCCUUCAGGUAACAAGUGACUAACAAGUAUAUUAAAUUACAGUGGUACCUCGGGUUACCUCCUGCCAACCUAGCAGUUUGAAAGCACAAAGUGCAAGUAGAUAAAUAGGUACUGCUCCAGUGGGAAGGUAAACGGCGUUUCCAUGUGCUGCUCUGGUUUGCCAGAAGCGGCUUAGUCAUGCUGGCCACAUGACCCGGAAGCUGUCUGUGGACAAACACUGGCUCCCUCAGCCAAUAAAGCAAGAUGAGCGCCUCAACCCCAGAGUCGGUCAUGACUGGACCUAAUGGUCAGGGGUCCCCUUUACCUUUACCUUGGGUUACAUACGCUUCAGGUUACAGACUCCGCUAACCCAGAAAUAAAGCUUCAGGUUAAGAACUUUGCUUCAGGAUAAGAACAGAAAUUGGGCUCCAGCGGCACGGCGGCAGGAGGAGGCCCUGUUAGCUAAAGUGGUGCUUCAGGUUAAGAACAGUUUCAGGUUAAGUACGGACCUCCGGAACGAAUUAAGUACUUAACCCGAGGUACCACUGUAUAUAAAUUCUAUGUCGUCAUCCCCAAUCCAAAUGUAAACGACAUCAGCAACAACCAAAAACCUGCUGUAGACAAAGUCCACAUUGGAAGAAAAAAGGAAAGAUUGGGAGAGGCAAAGAUGGGCACACAGGGUGGAGAUAGGGAAGGGCGAGAAGGAAAGAAAGAAAGAAAGAAAGAGAAAAGAGAUUUUGCAAAAUGUGUUUAGACGAAAAGAACUGAGUCCCCACAUGAAAAUUGCACACAUAGGAUACGCAGGCAUGCUCUUUCCAGCAGUUAGCAAUAUGAAGUGUUUCUGUAGAAGCAAACAGGGAGGGGGUUGUGUGUCAGGAACUGAAGUGGACAAUUAUGGGAUAAAUGACGCCUGGCUGUGAAACGAACUUUGAGUGGAAAAUAAAAUUAGACUUUAUUUGCUAAAUAUUUCUUGCAAAAAAUUAAUUUUUUUCGGGAUUGUUCUGCUCCAGCCUUUGGCGUUUGAUUUAAAAUUCUGGUCUCACACAGCUGGUGACAAAGUGAGCCUUUGAUUAAUCAGAGAAUUGGUCUAAUCAUCUAUUGCUGGGAAUAAUAAAUGAGAGCAGAUGAAGUCCAUACAAGAUGCUUCUUGAACUAAGCAUUUUCUGGGCAUAAGCAGCACUUAAGAGAAUCCAGGGGACAGCCUACCUUACCUGUGGGGGGGGCAGUUAAUGACCUCUGAGUGUUGGUAGACUGCUUGGUUUACAUUGCUCUCUCCCUAACUUGCUGGCAUGGCAUUUUUCUACCAUCUGACUUACACCUAAUCGUUUAUAUUACUUUUGAGAGGAGUAAAUAGUGGCAGGGCAACCAUCAUUUCGUCAUUUUGGCAGACCAGGAGGAGGUGCUUGUCCUCCUCCAAAUCACUUCAAAUUUACAUCUUAGCCAACUUCAAAGUCUCUUUCCCGUGCACUGAGAUGCUUCCAUGCUACAGAGGAGGAGAGCAGGCAGGUAAAGCCCACAGGACUAUUGUGAAGAUCAUCUGCUCUUCUAAAUAUUUCCAUGUCCCCACUAGAACAGGGGUGGGAAUUUUUUUUUUUUUUAGCCCUAGGGGCACAUUCUCUUCCAGGCAACCUUCCAGAAGCAGACUUUGCGUUUUCAAAUUUCUUUUCUUUUCUUUGAAUAAUUUUGUAUUAGUUUUCAAUUACAGUCCAAUAAUAGUCUCAUUAUAACGAUACAAAUUUAUAAUACAAUUAUUAAUACCAUUCAUUCAAGUAUUGAAUUAUACAAUUUAGUUAAAGUGGCCACCUGCAUGCUAGAUUUGAUGAUUUGAUGGUUUAUUUUAUUUCUGUGUUCCAAAAUCAAUUACAUUCCAGUCAUAAUAAUUAUCCCUUAUACAACAAAUGCAAUAUUAACAACUUCUAUUCGUGUUGACACAUUAAAUGAGUUAUAAAAUUUCAAGUGAGGAACUCAAACUAUAUCUUUGUUCUUCCUGUGUGUGGCAAUUAUUAUGCCCAUGGUGUUUCUUCCUGUCCUUCUAAGAUGUUAUGUCUUUCUUUCCCCCGAUUUGCUGUUAUCCAUCAUGCCUUGGGCGAAGCUGAUAUCCCAUUGUUGUUCCAGAAAUUUCUCCAUAUCUCCAUCCAGUGCUUCGUUGUUUUGCACUGAGAACUUUAAUGACAGCUGCAAAAGUCACUCUGUCCCAGUAAAUAAACUGUUGUCACCAUUUUUUCUCUCAGCCUGGGAAGAAGAGCAGUCUGUUGAACUGCAGAUGACUCAGUAAAUAAUCUUAUCAGUUCCUUGGCAGCUCACAGACUCCUUUCAUCCUUCCUUCCAGCUGAUUAUCCUUCCAAUUAAAUUAAAUUCCAAGUUCUCUUAGCGUUAUUCAGUUCACUUUGUAACAUAAUAAAGGAUGAGGAAGAGUCAGCUCUAAGUAAACCUUUUGCAAAAUAGAGCUUUGCUCCCUUUUCCCUAUUUUUUUUACAUACACAGUUCCAUUUGAUGUUAUACUCCAUAUUUAUAAUCCAAUUUCGUCCACCCUCACUUGUACAAAUAUAAUUUGAACUAACAUUCAGAGGAGGGUUGCUGAAUCAUAAAUGUAAAGAAGAAAAGUUUAAAUAAAGAUACCAUAGACUCCCCUCCCUCCCCACGUCUUUUGCACUGAAUGAAGUCUUAUCUCAAAUUCAAACCUUAAAGUCAUGCAGCUGGUUUGCUCCACAGUUUGUGAUCUCAUCUCUUCUCGCACAUGCGUGUCCUUUAGUCCAAUUAAGCUCUAAUUAGCAGGAGAACCUCUGCUUCUUAAUGACGGCGUUGGAGGGUUUUCACCAGGUGAAGUGCUUUUGCACCCAGCACCUCCCUGCCCCACACAUUGCAUGCUGGAGUGAGAGCCAGGUACCAAGACACACUGCUUUCUCCCUGUCCCGGGGGGGGGGGGGAGAUUUGCAAGGAUUAUUUACCCUCAGUCAUCCUAGUUUUUCCUUCACCUAUGAUCUCCCACCUGGGCUGCCUCCAUUAAGGCAGAGCGGAACCAGAAGCCUUGUGUUUUUACAUUUCAUCUGUGUCUCCUGCGAUGCCAAAAUUCGGUGCUCCCCAGCUUUCACUUCUUGUUCUAAGUCAUUCUUGUUGCGACUGCUGUGAUUCCCUCUUGGCUUGGCACUCAGUGUGGGCAAACCAGUUGUGCUUCCCUAACUCUGCCUGUGCCACAAGAGCAUCUGCUUGGCUUGCAAAAGAUCCCAGAUUGAAUCCUCAGGUAGGGCUGGGAAAGAUCCCUGUCAAAAAUCCUGGAGAACUGCUGCCAAUCGGUGCAGGCAGUACUGAGCUAGAUGGACCAAUAGUUUGACUCCUUAUAAAGCAGCUUCCUAGGCUACACUGAACUAAAUAGUAAUCCUCACCCAAUGCCACCAACAGCAACGUUCUCAUUGGCUUCUUGAAACCAGUAAGCUAGAAUUUCAUCAUGAACAUCUAAAUUGCCUUUGACGAUUCUAUACUGAGAGAUAGGGUGAUGGAUUCUUUGUAACUCCCUAAAAUGAGCAUGCCGGAGGAAGCAGGUGCAAUAAGCUUUUGCCCGUAUAAAUAUGUGGACUCUAGCAGUAGAAAUAUAACCCAAGCUGGUGUUAUAUAUCAAAUCCCUUUUUAUUCAAGGAAUUUUGUGUUUCCUGCGAUGGGUCAAGCCUGUAAAAACAGAGACAGGAAAUCAAUAAGUAGAGCAAGAAAUAAAAUAAAAAGUAUCCUUGGUUUCAGGCAUGCUGUUUCCUCUCUUCAUCACUGCUGUAACUAAGUGUCUUAUGAUUUGUACCAGCCUUCAUGCUGCUGGGUCUCUCUAUCUCUUCUGGGUGAUCUUUCAGCCAAAGGAGUGUUAAAAUACUGGAUGAAAUUUCACUGUCCUUCACUUCUGUUGGUAUAGAAUUGCUAGCUUGUUAAAUAAGGUUUAUUAGGUAGAUUAGUCAACUACCGUUUCAGUUGAUUAACCAGUGAGAAACCCUAAAAAGCUUUACAGUUACCUAAGAGCACUGCAGGAGUACCACACUUCCCUUCCCAAGUUAACUUGCCCCCCCCCCCCCCGUCAGUCAGUAGUGGAUUUUGGUUUUUUCCUUUUCCUUCUGAUGGAGGGAAGGUAACCAGGCCCUCUGGCUAACUUGACACAAGUGGUAAUGGGCAGGAAGCAAGUAGAAUAGUAGGCACAAAAUUGCAGGCUCUGCUUACAGCAGCUGGAUCAGAGCCGCCGUCGUAACCAUGAAAAUGAAUGUAAGCUUUGAAAAUUUAAUGAAAUACGAAACCUAGUGAGCAACUGGUUUCAAUAUCACCAAUUAAAUGAAAUUUAUAAAGAGGAUUUAAAGAAUGGAUUUGCUGAGCAACGAUCAUACUUUGAAGUUAGUUUGCAUGAAAACAAUGAGAAAUUAAUUUCCAAAACGUAUAAACUGUUGCUAGCAUGGGAAACGAAGGAUGAAAUGGUUAAAACAACAAUGAUGGGCAAAAGAUGUUGGACACAAGAUAGAUAUUGCUGCCUGGGAAAAGCUUUGGAAAACAGAUAUAAGAUUUACAGCACAUUAUGGCUUGAAAGAAACUUAUUAUAAGAUGAUGUAUAGAUUGUAUUUAACGCCAAAGAAUGUAUCAAACAAGUGUUGGUAAUGAAAAUGAAUACCUUAGAAUAUGCAGAUACAGCACUGAUAAGAGCCACAGAUUUCAACUCCAUAAUCACCUUCAAAGUCAAAUAUGGCCAACUACCCACAUCCAUUUUGUGGAGAUUCGGCACAUUGUUUUGCGUCAAGCACUCAGCAAGCAUUACAUGGUGGUGCCAAACAAGAGUAAACAUGGACAACACAGCAAUUCAGAAGAAGAAUCGUGUUCUUGGGGAAACAGAAGUUCAGCACAUGAAUGGAGAGAUCGUGUGCAAAUUUGCUUAGAGGACUGAGAACACAACUGCAUCCUUUCCAUAGAAUGAAGGAGACUCACACUUGUAAAAUGACCUUUGCCUCAGAACAUUCAGUUCUCAUUGUCCCUUGACAAUCUGCUUCUAUCCAUGCUUUACUUCACCAUAAGGAGUGGGUUGGAAGUGUGUGAGAAAUAGCAUGUGGUUCCUGGCCUUGUUGCUCCACUAUCUGGGUCAUGAACAUAUGAAUAGUAUUCUAAUGUUGCAAGGCCUUUAUUACCACCAUUGAUUUUUUUUUAACCCAAUUUCAUCGUGGAUUUAAAUAGAGUUUUGCUUAAAAUUCAAUGGCACAAUAUGGUCCCCCGACAUUAACACAUCCGAAUAUUGACAGCGAAUGAAAAUGCAGCCAUUUUCCCUUCCAAAGCCCUUCCUCUUGAAACAUUAUAAUGUACCCCCUGGGCUCCAGCUGUUUCAUAAUACGCAGCAAAUGGAGUGAAAAUGCUAUUGGAUACAGGUUGGCUGUAAGAAUACUUUUUUAAAAAAAUCCUAUAUGAACAGUACCCAGCCUUUUAAUCAAAUAAUUUCCUAAUCGCUCACUGUGGCAUCCCAAUCAACUCAUCUCCAGUUAAACUCAUCUCUCUCGCCCCAGCCCCCUCCUCCUUACCACUUUCGCUCCACACUUUACUUCAGAAAACGUUCGGCGCAGCCCAUUAAGGAACGCUUUAAUUCAAGAGAGCCUGGCUGAUCAAGAAAAAUUAAGCUCCUAAUAACAGCAAAAUCGAAAGAAAUUUGGAUAAAAUGACUCUCCGCAUCACAGAUUUUGUUUACUAGUGGGUAAUUAAUUCUCCACAUAUGCUGGGAACAUCUGUCGCGGUGACCUGCCAUACUAUCUGUGAAAUGACUGCUGUGCAGCUCCUCCGCAGGCCAUUAGCAACCAUCGGAAAGAAGGCUUUCUCCUUCCUGCCCCCAGCCUGGGCAGUUUUUUACUUUUGCUCCAAUCUGCCACAAUGCAAGUUGCCCUCUACUCCUUCCUUCUGUCUUCUCGCUCAAAAGCCUAUUAAGAAAAACCCUCAUAGAAGGGGGAGCUGGGGAAGCAAGGUAGAGAAGAAUGGGUUUAAUUCCUAGGUAAUCCUAUCAAGCCGCUUCUCUCCUACCUUUCAUUACCUCCAGCUGCUCACAUGGGAACUCAUGAGAUACAGGAAAGAGGACAUUAGGCAAAAGUAUAUCUGCCGCCUUCUCUUCCUAUGGACAAAUCCUAACAUUCCCUAUUAUAAACCAAAGAGCCAAAGUGUAGGAUAUGAUGAUGAAUUGCAGGGGGGGGGGGGACUUUUGUUGGAUGGAAAAGAAUACCAUCCUUGUUUUCAGCAAGGAUGGGAAAGCACACUUAAGGUGGACAGAAUGGGGAAUUGGGUUCAUGUUGUUAACAAUUGGCUUUUAUGGAGAUCUAGCAGCAUGUGCAAAGCCUUUUAUGUAAGUUACAUUUCAGUGCUGAAGGCUGAGAUGUAUGUUUACAAAUUUUCUAUUCCCACUGUUCAAAUUCUGAAUUCUGAAUUUUGAAUCCUGAACUCACAUUUGUGGUCUGAAUGUGACCCCUUUUGCUCUGCUUUCCAGAUUCUGAUGUGUGUUUUUCUUUUGCCAGGUUCCAGUCACAAAACUUCAUAAGCUCUCAACUUUCAAAUACUAAUUACCGCUGCAUUUUGUCUAUUAAAUGUUGUCAGAUACUAAGACUCAUUGCUUGUUAUCUGCUCGCUCCUAUAAGAUAAUAAAGUGUCACUUCAGGUCAUGCUGUAAAAUAUUUCAAGACCAAAAAACAAAAGCCUUUCAGCUUCAUAGAACAAUUGGAACCAAUCCACAUACACCAAAGGAUGUUGCCUUAACUUCUGUGCUGUGUAAACAUGGACAGUUCUACAUAUAGGGGCCAUCUUCAAAGGCAGCCCCAUGUGCAAUGCAUGGCAAUAGUCUAACCUGGAAGUUACCAGAGCGUAGACGACUAAAGCCAGACUGUACCCAGAUGAUGUCAGAGCUGGGCUACCAGCUGAAGCUUGUGGAAGGCCCUCCAUGCCACCGAGGGCACUUGCACCCCAGAACAGGGAUCAGACCAGAGACAGGAAGUUCUUUCUCAGGUCUGCUCCAAAGCUGCACCUCCUCAGCACCUACGAUUGGCUACUGAGCCUUGCAAGUGAUUCCCAGCUGUUAGUGCAAUCAGAGGAGCAUGAAGUGACCCCUCCUUUCAUGCCAUGACCAGGAGGACGAAGUGCAUGCUUUCCAUGGCCAAGGAGGCUGCAAUUACCACUCCCCACGAUUGCAGAGGGAAAUGGGUACUCUUACUCAGCCAUCAACAACUAGGGAAGUUGUUGUCUAGAGCCAAGUCUAGAGCCAAAUUAAAUAUUACAUUAAUCAUGCAGUCUACGUAGGCUUGUUGCUUCAGGAUGCAACCAUAUGGACGCUUGAGAAUAAACACCAGUGUACAGUGGUACCUCGGGUUACAUACGCUUCAGGUUACAUACACUUCAGGUUACAGACUCCGUUAACCCAGAAAUAUUACCUCGGGUUAAGAACUUUGCUUCAGGAUGAGAACAGAAAUCAUGCUCUGGAGGCACGGCAGCAGCAGGAGGCCCCAUUAGCUAAAGUGGUGCUUCAGGUUAAGAACAGUUUCAGGUUAAGAACGGACCUCCGGAAUGAAUUAAUUACUUAACGCAAGGUACCACUGUAUACUGUAAUACGUCAUUCCGUGCACAUAGGAUUGCACUGGUUAAUUGCGCAUCACAGUGCUGGACUGCAACUUUAGCCUUUGGCUAACACUUUGCGAAUUCACAGCUCCCUUGCUUGAAAUCAGCACUCAGGUGGCCAAGCUCCAUUCAGAUGCCAUUGCAUAAUCAGGCGCUUAGAAUUUCAAGCAUUGUCUUCAAGGGCACGUAGAAAAUAUUUUCUACAGAGAAGCAACUUUAUUUAUCCCCAUAGGACUAGAUUAUGCCAGAAUGAGGAGAGAACACCUGCAUCUCCACUAGGACACCUGCUUAUGCAAUAAAUGCCACUUCACUAGCACAGCCGCAGUCUGUCAACGAGGAAGGGGGGGGAAAGAUGCAGACUGCUAAGAAAAUUAGUCUGAAAGAUCACAGCACAGGCAGCAGGGCUUUGACUCUGGCAAAGAUCUCACCUGCACUCUCGUUCCUACUGUUGCGAGGCAUUGCGGUGCUUGCUAUUUUAGUUUUUCUUUAUUAAAAAAAACCUAUUAUAUUUAAUUGAUGCUUCUUUUUGUUCCUUUUUAUUGUUGUCUUUGGUCCUUUUAUGGCACAUUUGUUUUGUCCUGAAACUCAAGAUUAAUGUGCAGGUUUUAUUGCCACCAUGAACAAUUUGGCUGUUUCAUUUGGUUUAGAUCCUGUUUAGUAUCUUGAUGCCAAAUUUAAAGGACUUUGCCAGAUCCUUUGGUAAUAUAAAUUGGAUUUCAGCUAUGUCAAAACAGAUCGCAUAGAUUCACUUGGAGGGCAUGCCUGGGCCGUAGAUUUUUGCACUAUUUGAUUCAGUGUUGUACAUUGCUAAGUCACAGGGAAAAGAGUAGGUUUUUGUAUUUAAAAGGGCAUGACUUUUCCUCCUGCUUCAGAAAUAUUACUACUGUUAACAACAGCAACAAAUCUUUGCAUUUUACAUGCAUGCCAAUAUGAUUUGCAAACAUAUAAGGGUGUCUAAAAUAGUUUUUAAAACAGUGCAAAAAUAACUAGAUUGCUUUAUUGCAUUUUACUUACCGUAACUUUUGUCGUAAUAUUAUGCUGUUGAAACUUCUACUUUAUUGAAACAGUUAUUUGGCCUACUGUGCUAAUCUGAUUUGCCUUGUCUCUGUAUUUUAAUCUUAAUGUUAAUGUUUUUUAAAAAUAAAAUAAAAAUAAAUCUGCUCUUAUUUGAAGUCUUGCUUCCCCCAUAGCUUUGGAUUCCAGCAGAAAUCAAGAAUGGUUCAGUCUCUCUAGCUAUCAGCUUCAUCUAAUGAUGAUACCUAGGUCUAUUAACUCUAGGGUUGCCAUGUUUCAAAAAGUGAAAAUCCGGACAGAAAAGUUGUUGAGCUUUUGCUUUAUUUUGGGAAAGUUGUUAAGCUAUUUUUUUUGGGGGGGGGGCUACAGUAAUCUGAGUAUGUUCAGGAUAUUCCGGACAUAUGUCAACUCACAACGAAACUUGCCUGACUAGUUCAACAACGGAAUCCUCCUCUAGAUUUUAACCUUUGCUGGAUCCAGGAUCCCAGGAAAUAGAAGGGACAGCAUACAGACUGACCCUCGCCACCAACACACAAUAAUAUGAAAACAGAUACUAGCAGGCUCACUUGACACCCAUGUUGGUGACCCCAGCAUAGAUAUUGUAAAUCAAUUAAUCAAUCAAUCCCAAACCUGUGUUUGCUGGUUCACAGUGGAUAUCUGUAACAUCACUUGAAAGUUUCCUGGAUAAAUGGAGAUAAUACAAAGGAAAAAUAACUAUAAGUCAAGCACUCAUCUCUUCCCAUUGAUCUCCAGGGGACUCAAAGCAACUUACAGGUGGCCGGAUUGUGCCCCAUUUUAUUUUUGAAAUAAUGGGUGGUUGUUCCAUUACACUGAGGAUUGCUAUGCUUUUCUGUAAAUUAAUUCUGAAGGGUCAGCAGUAUAAUUCUCUUGUGAAAUGAACUGCUGCAAUAGCUGCCUAGGUAUACAGCAUUAAAAGUAGUCAGGUAGAAUGAUACUAAUGCCCAGGAGAGUUCUUCAUAAUUAGCUGUCAUUUAUACAGCUACUUUCUUCAGCACAUACAAAAUGUACAUAAUUACAGUGUGCUACUAGUGGAUCCGUCCUAGGAAGAGUGGGGUGGGGGAAUGCAUCACCAAAGAAGGGGAUGAAAUACCGUAUUUUUUGCCCUAUAGGACACACUUUUUCCCCUCCAAAAAGUGUGUGUCCUAUGGGGCGAAUGCAGGCUUUCGCUGAAGCCUGGAGAGCCCCACCGCCAGCCCCACAAGCUCGGGGGACAGCGGGGAGGCGGAACGCCGCCAUCCCGCUGUCCCCCGACCUGGUUUGGAGGCUGGCAGCGGGGAGAAGCCUGCUCCUCCCCGUCGCCAGCCCCGCAAACUCGGGGGAUAGAGGGAGAGACGCAGCGUGCCUUUCCCGCUGUCCCCCGACUUGGUUAGAAGGAUGGCGGCGGGAGAAGCCUGCUUCUCCCCGCCUCCAGCCCCGCAAACUUGGGGGAUAGAGGGAGAGGCGCAGCGCGCCUUUCCCGCUGUCCCCGGACCUAGUUUGAAGGCUGGCGGUGGGAGAAGCCUGCUUCUCCCCGCCGCCAGCCCCACAAGCUCGGGGGACAGCUUCCCGCCCCAGCCUCGUGCCGGGGGGGGGAUUUUUUUUUCUUUAUUUCCCCCCCAAAAAACUAGGUGCGUCCUAUGGGCCGGUGCGCCUUAUGGGGCGAAAAAUACGGUACAUCUCAGCAUAGUGGGAAAUACUGUGAUCAGGUGACCUGCAUACCUGCUAAGUCUGCAAGGCAGGUGCUAAUGGUCAGUGGGCAACUUCAGAGCCCUGGCUCUUCCUUUUAUUGUUAUUUAUCUUUAAACCAGACUUGGCAUGGAUAGUCCUCCUGUCUUGGGCCAGAGCCUGUGAAGUAGUAUAUAUGUCACAUGUCGGCCACCUUAGCAAGAGAAGUACUAAGCCUAGUCAACUGAAUGAACCCAAAUCCCAUAUGUGUGAUAAAUUAUCUGCAUCCAGCUGUGUGGAUUGUUGCUUCUUUAAGCAAAGUGAGGCAAUUGUUUUCAUAUGUCUGGGAUGGGAAAGCUGUGGCUCUCCAGAUGUUGUUUGACUACAACGUCUAUCAUCCCUGAUUGCUGGACAUUGUUGGCUGAAGCCAACUGGAGUCGGAGCCUAACAUCGUCCAGAGUGCUACAGGGCUCCCAUCCUUGGCAUACAGUAGAAUAAAAAGAAUGUGGCAAAAAGAGAAAGCCAUGAUGGUUUAAUUGAUGUAUCAGUUUUGAUCCCAUUCCCUUUUUCCUCUUUGGUAUCAAAGAGGCUGUUGUGUUGGCCUCCCAAUGUAAGAAGUAGUAGAAAACAGGUAGAAAGGCUGGGCUGAGCCAGGACUUAGCAAUGGAAUGCAAAAUAUGAGUAUAGGAAGCUGUCUUAUGCCUACACAGACCACUGGUCCAUCUCAGUAUUGUUGAUGUACAGACUAGCAGUUGAACCUGUUCUGAGGAGGCUAGCUUAAGGGGGCAGGGGGCACGGCACACACAGCUCUACCCUCCAUCACCUCGCUAUCACUCCCUAGCCUCUGCCACUGGAGGUACUUGCCUCACUCUGCCCAGUGGUAGGGCUGUGCUUGGCUACUGCUGCAUAUGCUUGCAGGGGAGUACCUAGUAUGUACCUUACAGUAUCACCUUGGCUCUCAGAGACUGUUCUGAAAUCUAGUGAGCAAUCUCUACCAUCAACAACUGCAUCCGGCUAAGGAUCCGGAAUCAAGUGAAUGGGGCACUCUUUUGUUGUUCUUCACUUCCAUUUGUGUGUGUGUGUGUGUGUGUGUGUGUGCGUUCAUGUGUGCGCGUGUGUGUGUUAUAUACACCAAAGUCUAAGCAGAUACCAUUACCAUGAUAAAUCACUUUUUAAUCAGUAAUAAUUUUGCACUAAGUGCUGUGUAAAUGCCCUUUGUUUCACUACUUAAACUGUCAACCGGACUAACAAUGGGACUUCCAGAGCAGUGCCUGUCAUUAGGAGUAGGAAGUAGGGAGGGAAGAGAGAAAUCAAUACAAUUUUUAAUUAAGGGUGCCUCACGACUAGAGCUCUUAAACAAGGAAUUCUCCUUGUCAGAACAUCUCGCCUUUAAACCCUGUUUCAUAUUCUGUCAGCUCAGAAGUUAACGGGCAAGGAAACGGAAGGGAUUUGCAAUGGGCUCCUUUUCUGAAACAGGAAAGGAUGGGCACGUGAGGGGAAUUUCUAGAUCAGGGAUGGUUGGGAACCUCUUCUAUGUCAGGAGCUGUGUUCUCUUGGGAGUAAUCUGCCAGGGACACAACCUUGUGACCACAAGACUGCCUUUGGCCUCAUCUGCACUGUACAUUUAAAGAUCUAUUAUACCACUUUAAACAGUUAUGGCGUUCCACAAAGUAUCCUGAGAACUGGAACUUGUUAGGAGUGCUCAGAGCUUUUAAUAGACCCCAUUGUUGUUGUUGUUUGGUUGUUUAGUUGUGUCCGACUCUUCAUGACCCCAUGGACCAGAGCAUGCCAGGCACUCCUGUCUUCCACUGCCUCCCGCAGUUUGGUCAAACUCAUGCUGGUAGCUUCGAGAACACUAUCCAACCAUCUCGUCCUCUGUCGUUCCCUUCUCCUUGUGCCCUCAAUCUUUCCCAACAUCAGGGUCUUUUCCAGGGAGUCUUCUCUUCUCAUGAGGUGGCCAAAGUAUUGGAGUCUCAGCUUCAGGAUCUGUCCUUCCAGUGAGCACUCAGGGCUGAUUUCCUUAAGAACAGAUAGGUUUGAUCUUCUUGCAGUCCAUGGGACUCUCAAGAGUCUCCUCCAGUAUCCCUGCCAAGAAAACUCCAUGGACAAAGACAACAGGCAUAGACCCCAUACAGAGUUACAAUUCCCAGGAUGGUUUAACAAUCAGUACUUCUUCCCAGGGCAUUCUGGAAAUUGUAACUCUGUUAGGGGAAAUAGGGGUCUCCUAACAAUUCUCAACAUCUUUAACAAAUUACAAAUUCUCAGGAUUUUUUUGGUGGAAGCCAUUACUUUUAAAGUAGUAUCCUUUUGCUUAAAAUGUACAGAUGGAGCCUCUUUCUUUCUUUCUUUCUUUCUUUCUUUCUUUCUUUCUUAUGCCGCCUUCUCUCUCUCCCCAUUUCUGACAGCCCCCUACCUCCCUAUUCCACUUCCUACCUGCCCAAUAGGCUUCUGGGGGAAGAGGGAUGAGGACCACUCUUUCGACUUUUAUCUCUGUUCCCCCCCCCCUUUCACUCUUCUCUCCCUUUGAUCUUUCCCUGAUACUCGCCUUAAAUUCAGCCACAAGAAUGCAGCUGUCAGGCGGCAGGUUCAAAACCCCUGAAUGUAGAGGAAGGAAUCCAGCACUCAGGCAUCCCUCUCAGCUCAAGUGGGUUUAUCAGACACAGCAUAAAAUCUGCAGAUAUUGAUGUCCCUUGAAAUUACUAGAGAGAUCUCGCCCUUUAAAGGCUUUUUGAAAUGAUUUGAUAGACUGUAAAACAGACGUUCUUGUCAGUAAUAUUUUACAAUAUAGAUUUUUGUGUGUGUCGGUGGAGAAGAGGGGAAAAAUGGUUCCUUAUUCUUCUUGAAUUAUUUGUGCUAUUGACUGCCUUGAGCUGUCUUGUCUUUGUUUUGCUGUUCUGCUUCCUCCUCAGCGAUUUCAUCUCCCUCCUUUUUAAGGGUUUCUGAGACUGGUUUGGUUUUUAUCCUAUCUAAGAGAACUUGCUGGUUAAAUUCCCUCCACCCUCCCACAUAGCAAUCAAUGAAGUCAAACAAACUGACGAUUAAUAUGAACAAGAUAGACAUGUUCUCAUUCAGUAGAAAGGCAGAUCUUUGGAUGGGGUGCAAAUGGUUUAGGAUAUACGCCUCAAUUUAGGCCUGCAAUUUGAACCCCAGGGUGUGGCAGUGGCCAGGAGUGUUUUUGCAUAGCUAAGGACAGUACACAAACUACACCUGUCCCUACCAGAUCUGGCCACAAUGACAUGCUUUAGUUUAUAACUUGUUUGGACUACUGCAACACGCUUUGCAUGGGGCUGCCUUUGAAGAGUGUUUAGAAACUCCAGUUGCUACUUCCGGGUUAGCGCCAUCGCCGAAUGGCGGACUCCCUCCGAGCUCCGGAGGGAGUCUGCUCGGCAGGGGCUGGGUCCUACCGCGCCGGCGACGCGGGGACCCUUAAAAACCACGGGCAUGGAGUCCGUGGACAUGGGUGACUCGGCUUGCACCAUUAGCGCCCUCCCGACUCGUGAAGGAGCCUUUUAAAGGCUUCGGAUCGGGUGCCGGGGAGUGGCGUGGUGCUUGAGUCCACUGCUUUCCCUGCCGAGCGCAGCCGCAUGCCAUUCGACGGAGAGCGCUGACUUCUUCUAUUGAAAAUUUGGACUAUUAACAACAACCCGUGAGUAAUUGGGAAACCGGGUUCAAAAUUUUGGAUUUGGCACGAGCGGGGCGAUUUAAAAGGAAGUCAAUCCCCCUAUUGUAAGCAUUCCAAAACAAGGACUGGGUAACCAAGGUCCAAAGGGAAGUAUGUCUCUGAUAAAAAUCAUUAAUUUCACGAUGGGAAAUUAUAAGAAAUGUGCUGGAGGAGAAGAGUGGAGGGUGAGAAGAAAAAUGCAACCCCCCCCCUGGGAACCGGGGCGAUUCGUGGAGCCUGGUGAAGAGAGACGGAGACUUUGACAGCUGUCAAAGUGGCUGUCAAAGCUGGAGAAUAUAAAGAGGACUUUAUGAGGACCUUGCUGGUUAAUUUUGUUACAAUUUGCUAUAAUAUGGAUAUAAACUGUUGGAAAAUAAGCAACAAUUUGACUUUUGGAUUAGAGGAUACAAAGUUAUUACCAUCCCCUAGAGGGGUUUCGGGAUACUACAAGAACGGUCGUAAGUGGAAAAAUACCCUGGGAUUCGCACAGGAUUUGUUAUCUUCUGGGAAAGCUGCAAAACUGAAAGAGUAUUUUGUCUACAGAGGAAGACAAUGGAAUUUUUAUUGAAGAAAGAAAGGGACUGGACGUAAGUUUUGUUCCUGAAUAACAAACCUCUGCAGAGACACUAGAUUUCUGAAUUAGAAAGUUUUAGCAGCUGAACAGGACAAGAAACCUGAGAAAGUGAGGAAUAAGAAGAAUAAAGGACUGAUUACGACACGGAAAGAACAACGGGAGGAGUGGUAAAGAUCAAGGAAAUUAAAGGCCUUUGUUAGAUUGGACAUUUGAAGUCAAACAUUAUUUAAAUUAAUAAACUAAAAGAAAACCGGCAAGAUGGAAUCGGGGAGAAAUCUGGUCAUGAAAUGAGACUUCCAAGCUGAUAAUGUAUAGACUGAUGGACAUGGGGAAUUCAAACCGGGGGAUUUGAAAUCCAAAGGCUGUGUAACCAUUUUUUGAAUUUUUCUAUAUCUCUUAUUUUCUAUUUCUUUACAUAACUUACGCAUGUUAUUUUACUUUGAUUGGACGUGUUUUAAAAAAAAGGGAAUGUGUGGAAGGACCUGGGGUGGAUCUUGGGGACAAUCUUUUUCUUUUUCUGUUAAUGAUGUGGGACGGUGGUAAGAUUUGUACAAUUCAAUCUGGAUAGUGGGUUAAACAAAUUAAGCUUUAAAUUGGGAGUGAGAGCUUGUAGAACCAAAUUAAGGAAAGGGGAAUACAAUUGGGGGGGGGGGAGUCCCAGAAAGUAGGGAAUGAAAGUAAGGUUUUUAAAUAUCUUUUUUCUUUUGUCUUUUUUCUUUGUAUUUUUAUAUUUUUGGAAACUUUAAUAAAUAUGAUUUAAAAAAAAAAAUAGAAACUCCAGUUGCUUCAGAAAGCUGCAACCAGACAAUUAACUGAAGCCAGCAUGUGACUCCCAGAUUAUCACAUCUUUGCUGCCUGCCUGUCAGUUUUCAGGCAUGAUUCUAAGUGUUGGCCAUUACAAUUAAGAUUUGAAAUAUGCUAUUCUCUCAUAUGAACCGGCCAGUGUGUUUUAAGACCCAUCAGAGAGGCUCUUCUGUCUGUCCCACCAAUAUCUGAAGCACCUUUCGCAAAAAAGUUGAUGACAUUUUUUGUUUCUGCUGCUAGGCUUUGGAACUGCUGCCUAACCCUCUCUCUCCCUAGCUAUCUUCCAUAGGCAUUUUUAUUGAAAUAGAACUUCGGCCUCAUAUGAUAUGUUUUGAAAUGCCUCAUAGGAAGAGAUUGAUAAAUGAAAUCAUCAUCACAAUCUGAUUGAUUGUGGCCAUUCUUUUUUAAAGGAAAGCUUUAAAAAAAAAUUAGUCUUAUUAAUGUAUUUUACCUCACCUGUUCUUUUGGGGGGUUUUGUGAGGAUUUUUUUUUUUUUUUUUUUUGCAUUUGUAUUUUAUUGUAGCUAGCCACUUUGAAUAGUAUGUGGUGGAAAGGCUAUACAUUUACCAAAUAGCCAAAGACUAAAUAACAAUCUCACAAGGUGGCAUUUUUCCACACAAAGCUUGUCGUGUUUUUCCCAUGAGUAGUCACUUCUCAUACUAGACAUGGGAUACUAAUGUCAUUUGUUUAUUGAACUGGAUUUGCUCUGAUUAUGGUAUGGCUCCCAGCUGGAAGCAUCAGAGCACUGUAUCUACUAAGCCAAUGGGUUAUAAAUUUAGAUUAUUUUUGUAAUCUAGUCAGAAUUAAGUCCCACAAUUAUUUGGUCACAGGUUUCCAGCCGUACUCUGCGGUACAAACUAUUGUGUAUUGUGGGCCAUGUGACCUUUCUCUUCUUGGUAAGACCAGUACCACAGCUAACAAGAUAGGCCUGUUUCCUUUUGGGACACGAUAUAAUUAUUUUAUUUAAUGCUAACUUGUUGUUGCUGUUUAGUCGUUUAGUCGUGUCCGACUCUUCGUGACCCCAUGGACCAAAGCACACCAGGCACUUCUGUCUUCCACUGCCUCCUGCAGUUUGGUCAGACUCAUGCUGGUAGCUUCGAGAACACUAUCCAACCAUCUCGUCCUCUGUCGUCCCCUUCUCCUUGUGCCCUCCAUCUUUCCCAACAUCAGGAUCUAAAUGCUAACUUACACACCUAAAUGCUAACUUACACAAAUGCUAAUUUACACACCUACAAAAAUGCACAAUGAGUUAAUAAAGUUGUGUGGCCAAAUUUUGAGGGAAUGUAUUGCUGUGAAGGCUAACGCUUCCAUGAGAUUCUCAGUUUGAGCAGAUGAAGCAGUAACGUUUUUUCCUUUCUUUCUUACAGACCCUCUUCCUAAAGUAAUGGCUUAUCCCAAACCUGUUUGUUAGCAAUGGUGGAUGUGGCCUCCAUCUGCAUGAAUUAUCCCCACCUCCACACCUCACGACCAAUAAGACAAUGAAAAGCGGCGUUCCAGGAAGAUUUUGCCUUUUGAGCUCCUUUCUGAUCUAAUGUAAUUGUCCACUGG